rnacentral:tRNA from 1 species
UGAAUGGUCGGGAUAGCUCAGCUGGUAGAGCAGAGGACUG